UAUAGAACUUAAUUUUGUUUUAUAGAUAUUCAGAGAUUAGUUCAUCAGAAAGCGCGUGAAUAUUUUGUUUUGUUGUGGUGCUAAGGGUAGGAUGGAAGUAUUCAAUUUGAAAUCCUCCGAAGCGAAGGAAAUACAAGAAAAAGAUGGAGUCUUGAACACGAAUGCAGGUAAGCAAGCAAAGCAGCUAAACUAUUUGAUCAAAUAUUAAGAGAAUAAUGAUUUAGGUGGUUGGAUCAUGAUCCAAUU
rnacentral:lncRNA from 1 species